rnacentral:rRNA from 1 species
GACGAACGCUGGCGGCGUGCCUAACACAUGCAAGUCGAGCGAUGAAACCCUUCGGGGUGGAUUAGCGGCGGACGGGUGAGUAACACGUGGGUAACCUACCUCAAAGAGGGGGAUAGCCUCCCGAAAGGGAGAUUAAUACCGCAUAACAUUAGUUUUUCGCAUGACGAAUUAAUUAAAGGAGUAAUUCGCUUUGAGGUGGACCCGCGGCGCAUUGGCUAGUUGGUGAGGUAAAGGCUCACCAAGGCGACGAUGCGUAGCCGACAGGAGAGGGUGAUCGGCCACAUUGGAACUGAGACACGGUCCAGACUGCUACGGGGGGCAGCAGUGGGGAAUAUUGCACAAUGGGGGAAAGCCUGAUGCAGCAACGCCGGGUGAGUGAUGAAGGCCUUCGGGUUGUAAAGCUCUGUCUUUUGGGACGAUAAUGACGGUACCAAAGGAGGAAGCCACGGCUAACUACGUGCCAGCAGCCGCCGUAAUAC